UGGAGAUAGCUGGUUCUCCUCGAAAUAGCUUUAGGGCUAGCCUCGGUGCAAUCUGCUGGAGGUAGGGCACUGAAUUCCCGCGGGGGCGUCAAAGCCUACCAAAGGAUAUCAAACUGCGAAUGCCAGACAGAUGAUCACCGGGAGUCAGACCACACGAGAUAAGUUGGGUGGUCAAAAGGGAAAGAGCCCAGACCUGCAGCUAAGGUCCCAAAGUGCGUGUUAAGUGGAAAAGGAUGUGGGAUCUCGAAGACAACUAGGAUGUUGGCUCAGAAGCAGCCAUCAUUUAAAGAGUGCGUAAUAGCUCACUAGUCGAGAGGUCCUGCGCCGAAAAUGAACCGGGGCUAAACACGACACCGAAGCUCAGGAAUCCGAAAGGAUUGGUAGAGGAGCAUUGCUGAAGCGACGAAGCAGUACCGAAAGGAGCUGUGGAGUUUCAGGAAGAGAGAAUGCCGGAAUGAGUAGCGAGAGAAAGGUGAGAAUCCUUUCGGCCGAAUAUCCAAGGUUUCCAGGGUAAAGCUGAUCUGCCCUGGGUAAGUCGGGGCCUAAGGCGAGGCAGAAAUGCGUAUGCGGGUGAAAAGCCCCACGCCGAAAGCCCAAGGUUUCCUGUUCAACGUUCAUCGGAGCAGGGUGAGUCGGCCCCUAAGGCGAGGCAGAAAUGCGUAGUUGAUGGGAAGCAGGUUAAUAUUCCUCACCGUCGUAUGAUGCGAUGGGGGGACGGAUCGCGGAAGGUUGUCCAGCUGUUGGAAUAGCUGGUUUCUGGUUCAUAGAAGGCGCUUAGGCAAAUCCGGGCACGUAAUUCAAGGGACUGGGACGAGGCACUUAGGUGCUGAAGCAAUCGGAAGUGGUUCCAAGAAAAGCCUCUAAGCUGCAGUCAUACGAGACCGUACCGCAAACCGACACUGGUGGGCGAGAUGAGUAUUCUAAGGCGCUUGAGAGAACUCGGGAGAAGGAACUCGGCAAAUUGGUACCGUAACUUCGGGAUAAGGUACGCCCUAGUAGUUUGACCACUUUACUGUUGAAGGAUGAACGGGUUGCAAUAAAAUGGUGGCUGCGACUGUUUAAUAAAAACACAGCACUCUGCAAACACGUAAGAUGACGUAUAAGGUGUGACGCCUGCCCGGUGCUGGAAGAUUAAAUGAUGGGGUGCAAGCUCUUGAUUGAAGUCCCGGUAAACGGCCGGCCGUAACAAUAACGGUCCUAAGGUAGCGAAAUUCCUUGUCGGGUAAGUUCCGACCUGCACGAAUGGCGUAACGAUGGCCACACUGUCUCCUCCCGAGACUCAGCGAAGUUGAAAUGGUUUGUGAUGAUGCAAUCUACCCGCGGCUAGACGGAAAGACCCCGUGAACCUUUACUGUAGCUUUGCAUUGGACUUUGAAUCAAUCUGUGUAGGAUAGGUGGGAGGCUUUGAAGCGGGGACGCCAGUUCUCGUGGAGCCAACCUUGAAAUACCACCCUGGUUCAUUUGAGGUUCUAACCUUGGGUCCGUUAUCCGGGUCGGGGACAGUGCAUGGUAGGCAGUUUGACUGGGGCGGUCUCCUCCUAAAGUGUAACGGAGGAGUUCGAAGGUACGCUAGGUACGGUCGGACAUCGUGCUAAUAGUGCAAUGGCAUAAGCGUGCUUAACUGCGAGACCGACAAGUCGAGCAGGUACGAAAGUAGGACUUAGUGAUCCGGUGGUUCUGUAUGGAAGGGCCAUCGCUCAACGGAUAAAAGGUACUCCGGGGAUAACAGGCUGAUUCCUCCCAAGAGUUCAUAUCGACGGGGGUGUUUGGCACCUCGAUGUCGGCUCAUCACAUCCUGGGGCUGNNNNNNNNCCGGAGUGGACGAACCUCUGGUGUACCGGUUGUCACGCCAGUGGCAU
rnacentral:rRNA from 1 species